rnacentral:rRNA from 1 species
AGUGAACGCUGGCGGUAGGCCUAACACAUGCAAGUCGAACGGCAGCACAGUAAGAGCUCGCUCUUACGGGUGGCGAGUGGCGGACGGGUGAGGAAUACAUCGGAAUCUACUUUUUCGUGGGGGAUAACGUAGGGAAACUUACGCUAAUACCUCAUACGACCUACGGGUGAAAGCAGGGGAUCUUCGGACCUUGCGCGAUUGAAUGAGCCGAUGUCGGAUUAGCUAAUUGGAGUGGUAAAGGCCCACCAAGGCGACGCUCCGUAGCUGGGCUGAGAGGAUGAGCGGCCACACUGAAACGGGAACACGGUCCAGACUCCUACGGGAGGCAGCAGUGGGAAAUAUUGGCCAAUGGGCGCAAGCCUGAUCCAGCCAUACCGCGGGGGUGAAGAAGGCCUUCGGGUUGUAAAGCCCUUUUGUUGGGAAAGAAAAGCAGCAGGUUAAUACCCCGCUGUUCUGACGGUACCCAAAGAAUAAGCACCGGCUAACUUCGU